rnacentral:lncRNA from 1 species
CCAAAUCCCAUACUAUUACAAACUCGAUUAAAAUUAAGCCCAUAUAGUUGUCAAGCCUAAUAUAUUGACUCGAAACCUAAUCGUGUAACACGUAAAAGGCCACGCGUCUCCCUUCCAAGGACUUCCUAACACGCGUCCUUCCAGGUCACAUUCCACUCGAGCUUCUGCAGACGCGCCGCCGUAACAGAUGGGAGACUGAGGAGUCGUUUCUAUCGCCACCACCGAUGCCGGUACUUGUCGCCGGCGUUGCUUUUGUCAUGAUUAAUCUGCCUCAAGCUUUAACCUUAAAACUUGAAUUCUCCCUAAUUGCUUUUCACCUUAACCGACAGUACUCAAACAGAGAGGCCUUGAUGCACCGGAUUUUAUAUCUGAGGACGCUUAAAUCGAGGUGUAGAAAGACUCUUUGCUGGACCGUCACAAGAACGCCAACUCUUCUGAACCUUCUCCAACAACGAUUUGGAGAAUCCUUCUAACUCCACCUACUUCCGAUCAGAGACGCUUCACAGAACACCACAAGUGGAUAUAUCAAAUAGCGAAGACUAAUUCUCUUAGAAAGUGGUUAGAGUGAGCG